GGAUUCCCCUAGUAACUGCGAGUGAAGCGGGAAAAGCUCAAAUUUAAAAUCUGGCGGUCUUUGGCCGUCCGAGUUGUAGUCUGGAGAAGUGCUUUCCGCGCUGGACCGUGUAUAAGUCUCUUGGAACAGAGCGUCAUAGAGGGUGAGAAUCCCGUCUUUGACACGGACUACCAGUGCUUUGUGAUGCGCUCUCAAAGAGUCGAGUUGUUUGGGAAUGCAGCUCAAAAUGGGUGGUGAAUUCCAUCUAAAGCUAAAUAUUGGCGAGAGACCGAUAGCGAACAAGUACCGUGAGGGAAAGAUGAAAAGCACUUUGGAAAGAGAGUUAAACAGUACGUGAAAUUGCUGAAAGGGAAACGCUUGAAGUCAGUCGCGUUGUCCGGAACUCAGCCUUGCUUUUGCUUGGUGCACUUUCCGGAUGACGGGUCAGCAUCGAUUUUGACCGUCGGAAAAGGGCUGGAGUAAUGUGGCACCUCCGGGUGUGUUAUAGACUCUGGUCGCAUACGGCGGUUGGGAUCGAGGAACGCAGCGCGCCGCAAGGCAGGGGUUCGCCCACUUUCGCGCUUAGGAUGCUGGCAUAAUGGCUUUAAACGACCCGUCUUGAAACACGGACCAAGGAGUCUAACAUACCUGCGAGUGUUUGGGUGGAAAACCCGAGCGCGUAAUGAAAGUGAAAGUUGAGAUCCCUGUCGUGGGGAGCAUCGACGCCCGGACCAGACGUUCUCUGACGGAUCCGCGGUAGAGCAUGUAUGUUGGGACCCGAAAGAUGGUGAACUAUGCCUGAAUAGGGUGAAGCCAGAGGAAACUCUGGUGGAGGCUCGUAGCGAUUCUGACGUGCAAAUCGAUCGUCAAAUUUGGGUAUAGGGGCGAAAGACUAAUCGAACCAU
rnacentral:rRNA from 1 species